rnacentral:rRNA from 1 species
CCUACGGGAGGCUGCAGUGAGGAAUAUUGGUCAAUGGCCGCAGGGCUGAACCAGCCAAGUCGCGUGAGGGAUGAUGGUCCUAUGGAUUGUAAACCUCUUUUGUCAGGGAGCAAAGGGCGCCACGUGUGGCGCUUUGCGAGUACCUGAAGAAAAAGCAUCGGCUAACUCCGUGCCAGCAGCCGCGGUAAUACGGAGGAUGCGAGCGUUAUCCGGAUUUAUUGGGUUUAAAGGGUGCGCAGGCGGAAUGUAAAGUCAGCGGUAAAAUUUCGGGGCUCAACCCCGUCGUGCCGUUGAAACUGGCGUUCUUGAGUGAGCGAGAAGUAUGCGGAAUGCGUGGUGUAGCGGUGAAAUGCAUAGAUAUCACGCAGAACUCCGAUUGCGAAGGCAGCAUACCGGCGCUCAACUGACGCUCAUGCACGAAAGCGUGGGUAUCGAACAGGAUUAGAUACCCUUGUAGC